GUUCUGCUCAACCUGGAAAGAGCAUCUGGAACCAAUUCAUUGUGGUCACUUGAGCACAAGUGGAGUGAAAAAAAGCAAAGCAAUAACAAAAAAAAUACCUUUUACCUCGACCAUCAACCAACAUCAUCAUUUCAAGGAAGGACAUUUAGAUACCAAGUAUAUAAUCUCAGAAAAAAGAAGCUCCUUUCAGGGUUUCUUGAGAAGACAUCAGUGGCAGACCACACCCACUGGUUCUCAAAUCAUUCUCAAAGGAUUGCAGUUCAGACAAGGAAGUAACUUGUACAGCUUCCAGAUCUCCAAGCCCUUGGACUGGUGGCAUCAGCUGUGCCCUGGAUCUCAUUGGAGAAGAUUCAGUAACCCAAGACCCGUCUCUUUGCAAGAUCCCCAGGCUGGCCUGGUGGAUCCUCCUUCAUCUCCUCUUUACUUUUGCCUCUGGCCCCACAAAGGGCUCCCCUGUGUCCCUCUGAAGUGAACCCAGGAGUUAGCAUGCACCGCGUGCUGACGUAGAGCAGCUGCUGCCUGCAGCUACCUGUGAUUCUGCCUAUUUGACAGAUGAAGAAACUGAGGAACAGAAUGGUGACUGGAGAAGCAGGAGAAAUGGA